rnacentral:rRNA from 1 species
UACGUAGGGCGCAAGCGUUGUCCGGAAUUAUUGGGCGUAAAGGGCUCGUAGGCGGUCUGUCGCGUCGGGAGUGAAAACUCAGGGCUUAACCCUGAGCCUGCUUCCGAUACGGGCAGACUAGAGGUAGGCAGGGGAGAGCGGAACUCCUGGUGUAGCGGUGGAAUGCGCAGAUAUCAGGAAGAACACCGGUGGCGAAGGCGGCUCUCUGGGCCUUACCUGACGCUGAGGAGCGAAAGCGUGGGUAGCGAACAGG